CUGAAACAGGAACUCAAUAGUAAGCACAAAAGACCACUAGGACUAGCCUAGGGUCAAGGAUGAAAGAAAAAAGUCAAGGCAGCAAGGAAAAGUCAACCAAAACCAAAGUCAAACAUUUGAGAAGCUAUCACAAUUGGUCCCACAUUCAAAUCAUGUAUUAUGAUCAUUUCAUGAACAUUUGAAAUCAAAGUAAGGCAAAGGAAAGCA
rnacentral:lncRNA from 1 species